CAGGCACAGCGGGUUCAAGUACAGGGAAAAGUACGAAGAGUUGAAGAAAAAGCCCAAAUUCAACAUUGCUGAAACUCAGCUUUACAAGAGAAUGAGGCAGGUUGCAGCAGACACUUGCGACGACAAUUACAUGGGUGACUACAACAAGAACAUCAAGGGCAAGGGUGUGGCCAACUAUGCCGAGACUCCGCUGUACCAGAGGAACAAGGAGGCCGGAGAUGCAUCCAGCGAGGUUUGUCGUGGUUAACAAAAAGACACCCCCCU